UACGUAGGGCGCAAGCGUUAUCCGGAUUCACUGGGUUUAAAGGGUGCGUAGGCGGACAGGUAAGUCAGUGGUGAAAUCUCUGGGCUUAACCCAGAAACUGCCGUUGAUACUAUUUGUCUUGAAUAUCCUGGAGGUAGGCGGAAUAUGUCAUGUAGCGGUGAAAUGCUUAGAUAUGACAUAGAACACCGAUAGCGAAGGCAGCUUACUACAGGAUGAUUGACGCUGAGGCACGAAAGCGUGGGGAGCAAACAGG
rnacentral:rRNA from 1 species